rnacentral:lncRNA from 1 species
CAUAAAAAAAUAAACAUAAAAGUAUCAAAAAAAUAAACAAUAAAGAAAGAUUAAAAUAAUAAAUGAAUAAAUAAUAUAUAAAUAAGUAAAUGAAUAAAUAAAUGAAUAAAAUAAAAGGAAUAAUGAAUAAAUAAACAAGUGAAAAAAAGCUUAAUUGUAACUUAAGCAAAAUUAAAAGAACAGAUUGAAUAAAAUAAAAUAGCAAAAGGGCUAAUUUAAAGCUUAAAUUAAACUUUAGGGGCAAAAUCAGGGUAAAAAUAAAAUAAAGGACCACAUCGUAACACGCGAAUAAAAGGGAGGGACCAAAUGGAAAAUAUUCCACGUCCUCCAAAACGCGCAAUUCCAAGGUGGACUGAAAUGAAACAAAGCUGAAAUUAUAGGGCAAAAUUUAAAAAAAAUAAAAAUAAAAAAGGACUAAACUAAAACAAACCAAAAAUACGGGAGGUCUAGGGGCGUAAAUAGCACAAAAAAUG